CAGUAAACCACUUAUGUUCAGAGGUGGACCAACUAUAGUUUUAGGCUCUGUUCCCUGGGGAGUCCUAGAGGAGAGACCGCAGGCUUAGCUGCUGUGGAGAGCGGUCCCUCAGAGCCCUCGCUUGACUCUGGACACGGCGCAUGGUUUAUGGGUGGGCAGGAGAGCACCCCAUGGUCCAAAAGAGACACAUGCUUCCUCUAGAGAUGAAUGGGUGUGAAACUGUGAAGGCUUUGAUACUGCUGCUCGUGUCACAACCCUGAGUCCUCUGGCAUCUCUGGAGUGAGAUGCUUUUCUUUCCUGCUCUUCACCUCCCCAUGAACAGCAGCUGCAUACACGUCACUUACCCUGACACUUGGAAAACAG